rnacentral:lncRNA from 1 species
UGUUGAGGUUGGUGCUUGUGAUGAUUUCAGGGUAAUCUAGUAACCAUGAUUAUUGGUGUCUACAGUGGCAAUGAGUUCUUUUGGGAUCUCGUGGUGACUGCUGAUGGUAUUCUCCUGAUCUCUUUUUCUUUUACAGAAAUAUUUGCGACUGAGUAAGAGGACGUUGCAGCCUGGCAGCAGAUAUCGCCAGCCCAUGGGGACAAGCGACCAGGAAGCCGCUCCCUCCCAGAUGGGCCGCCAUGGCUAACUGGGACCUCCAGCACCAACAAGAAAAAUCCCAAUGCUACAGAAGGAUCCAAGUUCGGGAUGUUCAUCUGCUGUGGGGACUGCAGGCAAUGGAAAGUCUGGUCAUCAACAGUUCCAUUCUCUUCAGUGUCAACAAAGGUCUGGGUUGUGUGAGGAUCCAAGAAGAUGAGCUCAUCACCUAAGAAUCCUAUGACAUAAUGGGUGUUAUUUGGUUUUCCUCCUGAUGCCCCUAAAGACUGUGGGAUCUUAAAACACUCUUUGAAUGCAUCAACAUACACAGGAUCGAUUUGGUGUAUGCCCAAGCAAAGGGGCACAAUGAGGAGCAGGGGUUUCUAGGCUGGGCAGAAGGCAGAGGUGCCUUUACUCUGGUUCAAAGUGAUAAAAGAACCAGGGGCUUUCGUCAGCUGCGUCAGCAUGAAAGGGAAGGACUCGGCACAUUUUCUUGAUAUCCUCAAUGACCACUGUGUUAUCCAUUGAAACAUAAACAGCCAAGGAAUUCCAUUCAUCAAAUAAAGCAAGUUUUUUUAAUACCUGUGCAACUGUAUUUGGUCCAAACCAUUCGCCAACUGAUUUCCCCUCUCCUACACCCAUUUGUGCCAUUUGAUGGAUAGAAUAGCAACAGUCUUUUCUAUCUAAGAAUCACUGUAGGAUCCGUUGGUAUUCUUUGGGUUGUUCUUUUUGUUUCUCCCAGUUUCAGUCCCUUCCCAAGUGUCUACAGAUAAAGGCUUGAGCCAGCAUCAUCUGUCCACAACGCAGUAUACAUCCCCAGCCCGCGU